AUGGGAAGUGCUUACGAGCCAGCUCAAUGCUAUAGGGAGGACCAAAAAAACAGUCAAGGGCUGGAAACAAUUUGUCACUGCUUCCAGACGUACUCCGACAUGAAAUUAAGAGUAAAGAAAAAGGCAGCAGAUCUGAAGAAUAUGCCAACCGGCAAUCCCCAGGACACGAAAGGCGGUCUCACGGACGAGGAGUAUUCCUUAUACAUUCUUUGCGGAGAGCGCGAUUUGAUCGGCUCCGGGAAAGAAGAUGAGCUCGGUCUGCCUAAUGCCAAUCGUCACCAUCAUCAAGAAGCCGCUGUCUCCGUGAGUGGGCUGGAUGAUAGAGAUGACGACCCAGAUGACCCAGACAACUGGCCUCCACCCUCACCCCCAUCACAACCAAUUCCAGAUGAAUCCAAUGUAGAGGAGCCUUUUUGAGCCGCCACUGCUGGAGUAACAGAAAAGCAGAAAGAAAGUGUCCAAAAAAAAGAAGGCAAAACCAAAGAAAAGUCCACUGCUGGAGUAACAGAAAAGCAGAAAGAAAGCGUCCAAGAAAAAGAAGGCAAAACCAAAGAAAAAGAAGGCAAAACCAAAGAAAAGUGGCAACCGCCCAAAAGUGAGUAACUUAUAACUUUGUCUCUCAUUUGGACUACAUUUUGCAAUUUGGAACUAUAAAUUCUAGCCUGGUUUAAAAACAACGUAUGUGCCAUCAGUUUCCC
rnacentral:lncRNA from 1 species